rnacentral:rRNA from 1 species
GAUGAACGCUGGCGGCGUGCCUAAUACAUGCAAGUCGAGCGAACGGACGAGAAGCUUGCUUCUCUGAUGUUAGCGGCGGACGGGUGAGUAACACGUGGAUAACCUACCUAUAAUACUGGGAUAACUUCGUGAAACCGGAGCUAAUACCGGAUAAUAUUUUGAACCGCAUGGUUCAAAAGUGAAAGACGGUCUUGCUGUCACUUAUAGAUUGAUCCGCUCUGCAUUAGCUAGUUGGUAAGGUAACGGCUUACCAAGGCAACGAUGCAUAGCCGACCUGAGAGGGUGAUCGGCCACACUGGAACUGAGACACGGUCCAGACUCCUACGGGAGGCAGCAGUAGGGAAUCUUCCGCAAUGGGCGAAAGCCUGACGGAGCAACGCCGCGUGAGUGAUGAAGGUCUUCGGAUCGUAAAACUCUGUUAUUAGGGAAGAACAUAUGUGUAAGUAACUGUGCACAUCUUGACGGUACCUAAUCAGAAAGCCACGGCUAACUACGUG